AUGAAGACUCUUCGGCGUGAUUCCUCGCCUUACUCGUCGGUUGCUUCGGCUUCUGUCCCGAUAGAUGUGACGCUCCAGCCUGCUCUUGGGGUGCACACAAAGCUACUAGGAUCUGACCUUCAUGGCAUGACUUCCUCACAGAUGGAGGAGGCAAUUAAGCCGCUUCGCGAGGUCGCUGACUCCUUGCAAGGCUGGGUGGUGCGUAUUGGGAGCUUUCUGGAGCGUGCAGAGGCUGCUCUGCAAAGGCUCCCUCUUGCACAGGCUCCCGUGGUUGAGUCUUCUGUUGGCUUCAUGGAUCAGGCGGGUGCGGAGCUCUUUGGUAGCUUCUCGCCCCGUGUUGGGUCUAGUUCGACGCCUCUUGUGUUGCCGAACUCCGUGGGUGAGGCAUCCACUGAGGUUGUGUCUCCGGUGCUGCAGAUCAUGCCCGAGUUGCAGGUGUUGUGUGGGGAACAUGUUUUGCCUGUGUCGAUGGAGCAGCUCAAGUUGGACUCUCUCCAGGCUUCGAAGGUGGACCCUGUGUCCUCACCACCCCCCGUGGAGCUUUGUCAGGCUUUGGAGGUGGACCUAGUGCCCUCACCACCACCUGUGGAUCCUUGUCAGGGGUCAGACAACCUACCUCUCAGCGUCUUGGAGCACGGAGUUUUAGAUGUUGCUGCCCUUCCCUCGUCUGCAACCAUCGGGCAGGUGAUGCAUGUGAGUGGCAUGACCAUUGAGCCACUUGUGUUGGCACCUACUCCAAAUCCAAAUGCUCUUUUCGCGAAGGAACUUUGUGAUUUGCUAGCCAGUGUGGAGGUUGCUAGACCUGGUUUGGCAGGUCGAUUGCUUGCCUCCUGA
rnacentral:rRNA from 1 species